rnacentral:tRNA from 1 species
UGUCCGAGUGGCUGAAGGAGCACGCCUGGAAAGUGUGUAUACGGCAACGUAUCGGGGGUUCGAAUCCCCCCCUCACCGCCAGAUUACA